rnacentral:misc_RNA from 1 species
GAUGAAGAACGCAGCAAAAUGCGAUAAGUAAUGUGAAUUGCAGAAUUCAGUGAAUCAUCGAAUCUUUGAACGCACAUUGCGCCCGCCAGUAUUCUGGCGGGCAUGCCUGUUCGAGCGUCAUUUCAACCAUCAAGCCCCAGGCUUGUGUUGGGGACCUGCGGCUGCCGCAGGCACUGAAAACCAGUGGCGGGCUCGCUAGUCACACCGAGCGUAGUAGCAUACACAUCGCUCAGGGCGUGCUGCGGGUUCCGGCCGUUAAACCCCUUUUUUACCCAAGGUUGACCUCGGAUCAGGUAGGAAGACCCGCUGAACUUAAGCAUAUCAAUAAGCGGAGGA